rnacentral:lncRNA from 1 species
AAACGUCAUUCCAAUUAUAUAGGUCAAAAACCUAGGGCGCAGAGAAAUCAUCUGACUUGUUCAUGGUCACACAGAACCCAAUCCUGUCGCAUUGCAAGUACCCGGUUUUUCCGCCAUUCCACCUCACAAGUAUUACUCAGUACACAGCAAACGGUUUGCCCUUGAAGCUGCACCCCAGCGUGUGAGGCACCCUGUUGCAAAAUCAAUAAAUGGCUUUACUUCAAUGUGACCAGGGCUUAUAGACUAAGACAAACAAUAACGCAAUGAGCUCGCCGCGUCUAAGGUGCACUUUGCAUACUUUUCUCAUGGAAGCUCCACAUCUCUUUGCUGUAGGUCACUAUUGGUCAACAAAAUGGGCAAAUCAAAUUUAAAGAGGGAGCAGAAGGCAGAAGGAAAGAAGAGAGGAGAAUAAAAGGACCACAGGCAAGGGGCGAGGGAGAGAAUGAGGAGGGACAUCCUUUCCCUUGCCUGCUUCUCAGAGGGCAAAGAUUUUCUAUCUGUAAAGAAAUAUGAAGAAAAAAAUUCAAACAUACGUUGUCUUCUAACUAAAUUGUAAAACUGAAGCCAUAGUUGCAUUUUUAUUGUAUUAAUAUAAAAACAGCAAUAUUUUGUUGACAGAAAAUAAAAUGUGUGUCUCAGCAAUCUUGCUCCCCUGACUCUCACCCGGCGGGUUAGUCCCACGGUGGCUUUAGAGGGGCUGGGGGAUGGGAGGUCGCCUGUUGAGAUAAAGAAGGCAAGUUCACUACCUCUCCCUUGGGCAGAGAAGCGUUCAUGCAGGAAGUGAACUUUCAAAGACUUCAAAAAC